AGGACGAACGCUGGCGGCGCGCUUAACACAUGCAAGUCGAGCGAGAACCCAGGCUUCGGUCUGGGGGAAAGCGGCGAACGGGUGAGUAACACGUGGGUAAUCUGCCCUUAGCUUCGGGAUAGCUCCGGGAAACCGGAAUUAAUACCGAAUACGACCACGGCCGACAUCAGCUGUGGUGGAAAGUUUUUCGGCUAGGGAUGAGCUCGCGGCCUAUCAGCUUGUUGGUGAGGUAACGGCUCACCAAGGCGACGACGGGUA
rnacentral:rRNA from 1 species